AGAUGUCGAGCUUGAGGCAAAUUAACAAAGCUUUAUAUGUCUACCAUAACUGCAAGAAGUCGUAAAAAGCCUACAAAAAGACAAAUUAAGAAGAUCUGGAAGCGGUUUGGUCUUAGUCAUGGAAGAAAACCCGUCGCUACUUGUUGCUUGUGCCUUUGCAACCAGAUUUCUUGCGCUGUAUCACAAGAAAUGUUUUUUCCCUGACCACCAUGCCAAUUCACAAAUCACCCCCAUGUCAGCCUACAACACAUUUGCUCUGACACCAAAGCUUCAGUUUGGGCAAUACUGAUAAACAUUUCUAGAGCAUAUUUAGAAUAAUUGUUGUUUGCUUUAAAGUACAUUAAAAGCUUUUUCUUAUUAA